UUUGAAAUUGCCAUAAUAGACACAGAUUUGAGAACCAAAGAGGUGCUAAGGCCUCCUGUUUCUUGGUUUGAUUGAGCUUGCCAAGAAGCAUAAAAAGUCCUGGCAGUGUUUGUGAGAAAAUACCCCAGUGGAAUUCAGCGCUCGCACAAUUCUUUGGCUUAUUUUUCCAUAGAGUUGUCUAUGUUACUGAUGGGAAGUAACGAAGACACACACACCACCAUUCACAAUAGACAAGACAUGGAAGCAACCCAAGUGCCCAUUGACCAAUGAUUGGAUAAAGAAGGUGUGGUUUUGGAAAAUCUUGUAAAGAGUAGUGAGAAGUUCCUGGGGCAGUGUGAAGGCAGUUCUCUACAGAUCGACCCUGAGGAUGAAGUGAAUAGCUCUCACUGGACAUGCUGAGGAAGACUUCACUAAACCGACGCCUCUUCUGCCGUAUUCUAUAAUUUUCCAACACCAGAAAGAUUCAGAAAAUUGUAUUCUUUUACUCCUGUCUUCCGAGUUGGCAGGAUACUGUUUAGACACAUUAUACUUCUACAACAAAUUAAAAGUAAAAUGAGCAUAGC
rnacentral:lncRNA from 1 species